UUGGACAAGAUUAGGUUCGAGUCCUUAACAGACAAGAGCAAGCUCGAUGGUCAGCCUGAGCUCUUCAUUCACAUCAUUCCCGACAAGACUAACAACACCUUGACCAUUAUCGAUAGUGGGAUUGGGAUGACUAAGGCUGGUACGUAAUUGAUUUCAGUUAAAGCAAUUUGUAUUGGUUUUGUUGAUUAUUUUUGCAUCUAUGUGUUUGGUGUGUGUUGGCUAAUAAUACGUUUUUGUUGUAUUGUUCAGAUUUGGUCAACAACCUUGGAACUAUUGCGAGAUCUGGUACCAAGGAAUUCAUGGAGGCAUUGGCUGCUGGAGCUGAUGUUAGCAUGAUUGGUCACUUUGGUGUUGGUUCUACUCUGCUUACUUGGUUGCUGACAAGGUUGUUGUUACUACCAAGCACAAUGACGAUGAGCAGUAUGUGUGGGAGUCUCAGGCCGGUGGGUCUUUCACUGUGACCAGAGACACCUCUGGGGAGGCUCUUGGUAGAGGAACCAAAAUGGUCCUUUACCUCAAGGAAGACCAGUUGGAGUACCUUGAGGAGCGAAGGCUUAAGGAUUUGGUUAAGAAGCACUCUGAGUUCAUCAGCUACCCAAUCUCUCUCUGGAUUGAGAAGACCAUUGAGAAGGAGAUCUCUGAUGAUGAAGAGGAGGAAGAAAAGAAGGAUGAGGAAGGCAAGGUUGAGGAAGU
rnacentral:lncRNA from 1 species